GUUAGAGUUUGAUCCGUGGCUCAGGACGAACGCUGGCGGCGUGCAUAAUACAUGCAAGUCGAGCGGACAGAAGGGAGCUUGCUCCCGGAUGUUAGCGGCGGACGGGUGAGUAACACGUGGGUAACCUGCCUGUAAGACUGGGAUAACUCCGGGAAACCGGAGCUAAUACCGGAUAGUUCCUUGAACCGCAUGGUUCAAGGAUGAAAGACGGUUUCGGCUGUCACUUACAGAUGGACCCGCGGCGCAUUAGCUAGUUGGUGGGGUAAUGGCUCACCAAGGCGACGAUGCGUAGCCGACCUGAGAGGGUGAUCGGCCACACUGGGACUGAGACACGGCCCAGACUCCUACGGGAGGCAGCAGUAGGGAAUCUUCCGCAAUGGACGAAAGUCUGACGGAGCAACGCCGCGUGAGUGAUGAAGGUUUUCGGAUCGUAAAGCUCUGUUGUUAGGGAAGAACAAGUGCGAGAGUAACUGCUCGCACCUUGACGGUACCUAACCAGAAAGCCACGGCUAACUACGUGCCAGCAGCCGCGGUAAUACGUAGGUGGCAAGCGUUGUCCGGAAUUAUUGGGCGUAAAGGGCUCGCAGGCGGUUUCUUAAGUCUGAUGUGAAAGCCCCCGGCUCAACCGGGGAGGGUCAUUGGAAACUGGGAAACUUGAGUGCAGAAGAGGAGAGUGGAAUUCCACGUGUAGCGGUGAAAUGCGUAGAGAUGUGGAGGAACACCAGUGGCGAAGGCGACUCUCUGGUCUGUAACUGACGCUGAGGAGCGAAAGCGUGGGGAGCGAACAGGAUUAGAUACCCUGGUAGUCCACGCCGUAAACGAUGAGUGCUAAGUGUUAGGGGGUUUCCGCCCCUUAGUGCUGCAGCUAACGCAUUAA
rnacentral:rRNA from 1 species